CCUACGUGAGGCAGCAGUGAGGAAUAUUGGUCAAUGGGCUUACGCCUGAACCAGCCAAGUCGCGUGAGGGAAGACUGCCCUAUGGGUUGUAAACCUCUUUUGUCAGGGAGCAACGCCGGCUACGUGUAGCCGCACUGAGAGUACCUGAAGAAAAAGCAUCGGCUAACUCCGUGCCAGCAGCCGCGGUAAUACGGAGGAUGCAAGCGUUAUCCGGAUUUCCUGGGUGUAAAGGGCGUGUAGGCGGGACUGCAAGUCAGUUGUGAAAACCAUGGGCUCAACCCAUGGCCUGCGUUUGAAACUGUAGUUCUUGAGUGGUGGAGAGGCAGGCGGAAUGCGGGGUGUAGCGGUGAAAUGCGUAGAUAUACGGAGGAACACCAGUGGCGAAGGCGGCCUGCUGGAUAAUGACUGACGCUGAGGCGCGAAAGCGUGGGGAGCGAACAGGAUUAGAUACCCUAGUAGUC
rnacentral:rRNA from 1 species